GACGAACGCUGGCGGCGUGCUUAACACAUGCAAGUCGAACGGAAAGGCUCCAGCUUGCUGGAGUACUCGAGUGGCGAACGGGUGAGUAACACGUGGGUAAUCUGCCCUGCACUCUGGGAUAAGCCUGGGAAACUGGGUCUAAUACUGGAUAUGACCUUUCUCCUUAUGGGGUUUGGUGGAAAGUUUUUCGGUGUAGGAUGAGCCCGCGGCCUAUCAGCUUGUUGGUGGGGUUAUGGCCUACCAAGGCGACGACGGGUAGCCGGCCUGAGAGGGUGAUCGGCCACAUUGGGACUGAGAUACGGCCCAGACUCCUAUGGGAGGCAGCAGUGGGGAAUAUUGCACAAUGGGCGGAAGCCUGAUGCAGCGACGCCGCGUGAGGGAUGACGGCCUUCGGGUUGUAAACCACUUUCAGCAGGGACGAAGCGUAAGUGACGGUACCUGCAGAAGAAGCACCGGCUAACUACGUG
rnacentral:rRNA from 1 species